GUCACAGUGUGACACCCCCUACCCCUGGCACCAGAACACAGCGUGACACCUCUGGUCACAGGGUGAUUCCCCGCCUCCCCCGGCAUCAGAGCACGAUGUGACACCUCCUGCCCAUGGCACCAGAGCACGGUGUGACACCUCCUGUUACAGUGUGACACACUCCCAACCCUGGCAUCAGAGCAGCACAGUGUGACACCUCCCCACCCCUGGCAUCAGAGCACAGCAUGACACCCCUAGGCAGCAACGCCCAAUAUGUUUCACCUUGCCUUCCCCCACCAGGGCGCCAGGUUCAGUGUGACACUUCCCUUAGAGCACCAGUACAUGGCCUGAUACCUACAGCAGGACACUCUGGCCCCUCCAGAGGACCAGUCGACAGCGUGCUGACUCCUCCCCAGGGCAUCAACACAACCAUGCCAUCUAGCCCCACACCAUAGACACUGGGCUAAAUGUCGUGUUUCAUGCUGAAUGUGGGUGUCUUGGGGAGGGGUUAUACAAGGGAGCAGAAUUAAGGUUGCUGCAGCAACUGUAAAUGUGGCAUUACCUAAUCUUUGCUUUACAUAGUAAUGUUAAUAUUCUUAAUUUAUGGGUUUUGCAUGUAAUUAAUAAACUUAUUUAAAUGUGUAGGCCCCAACAUCAGCACAUCACUACUAACUAUUAUCACCUCUCCAUUCAGAAGAAAGGCCACAUGCUAUGACUUUGUUUCCUUUUACCAAUUUUUCAUCAAAAAAAGACAUUACCCUUUAGAGUUUCCUUAAUAAAGCUUUUCCUUUUGUGCAUCCAUUGCUGGAUUGCUGGGUGACCUUGGACAAGUCACGUCACCUUCCUGGGCCUCAGUUUGCCCAUCUGUAAAAUGGGGAUAAUGACCUUUGUAGUAAAGCAUUUAGAGACCUAUAGAUGAAAAGCAAGAGCAAGGUAUUACUUUUCUCUUCCUCUGUUGUCUCCAUCUUAAUUCACUAUCUUUUCCACCUAGGUCUAUACCAUCUUCUUUCCUUUACAUUAAUCUCUCAUCCCUUUUCUCUCAUUUGCCUUUUCCUUUAAGUGUUACUAACCAUUGCACAGCACACCACUGGGAUUUAAGACUCAAUGCUGCUUAAAGGUUCAGUGCUGGGCACCAGUGGGGUCUGAUUCUGCCAACAUACAUGUGAGUAACUUUAAGCUUGUAAAUAAUCCCACUGAAGCCAAUACAGCUGUUUACACACGUUUACACGUUUUCAAGAUAGGUUUGAAAUGAGUCUGACUAUUUGAAUAUUUUAGUAAUACAUUUUCAUAAAUUAAAAUUGAAAUCUGUGUUUGAGUCACAACUUUAAAAUCUUUAAUCUUUUCAAAUGUUUAUUGAAAAUCAAAAUACCAUUCUUAUAGGCAUCUUUGGGUGCGUGUUACCCCUUACAAUGAGAGACCAGAAUUCUUUCAAGGCCAUCCAAGUGGAAAUAACUGAUCAGAAAAAAUAGAACGUGUGUAGCUUAUAUUUCUUGAGGAAGGGUAUAAUUAGGCCAAUAUUAUUAUUUACCUAUGUGCUCAAGGGAAAAUCACUCAGCUUGUUGAGGAGAGACUCGGUGAUAAAUAUAGAAAUAUGAAAGAAAAGAAGAGCAGGGAGAAUCUGUUUCCUCCCAUCCCAAACAGUUUCUAGAUGCAGAAUGUUUGGAUAAGAAAUGGGCAAAAAGUUCAUCCUGGAGAAACAGAGAAGUAGGUUAUGAACAUAAAGACACUAGGGUAGGCCAGAUUCAUCCCUGGUGUAACUCAAUUAAGUCAUUGCAGAUACACCCAGAAAUGAAUUUGACCCAUUGUUCCUUUAAAAAGUGCCUUGACUCCAGUCAUGUAUUUUAUUUUAAAAGGUUGCUGUAUGUAAUAUUGACAUGAUUGUACUAAAGCUCUGAAGUUAACACCUAGUUUAAUAAAAAAUGGAGCAGGGUAUUAAUAGCUCCCCUCUGCUGUCUGCUGAGGUUCCUUUCAGAAAGCCACCUCUAGUGCCUCAUUCUUUUGACUUUCUUCUCAUUCUCCUUCUGCACCGAUGUGACACUUGCUUCCUUCUCUUAGCGGGGAAGGGUAGCUGGAGGUUUAAGGGUAUUAGACAGUCAAGACCUGGUCCUCAGCCUAAAUCCCCUGGGAAUCCCCUGGUAGUGUAGAGCUGGAAUAGCCAGCUCUAUUGCACUCAUUCCUCCCUCCCAGGAGGCUGUGGCCAGUGCUAAUGAGCGGGGAGACAGUUGUACUUGGGUCUUAAGCUCAAGUGGGUUCUGAAAAUGUGUGUAAUAUCUGUGUAAAGUGGGAAGAAGUGGGGCCACAGUGAACACGAGGUACCAGGGCCCCUCAUUUCUCUGGAUGGUCUUGGACUGUGCUGUACUCUGGCAACGCCAAGUGCAGAAUGGGCGUUAGGAAACUGUUCCAGCACUCAUAGCUGCUCUAACUUGUGCUGGGGUCCCUUUUGUUCACUGGCCAACCCCAGCAUCAGAGGAACAAGGGAUGGUGCAGAAAGGUGACUCAGCACCAACUUUGCCUUUGCCCCUCAGUUGUGGGGAUACAGCCCUCAGGUUUUAGGGACAUUGUGGAGUCAAUUUUGGCCAAAUAUUUAGAUUUUGUUAAAGAUUCAUAGAUUCCAAGACCAGAAAGAGCCACUUUGAUCAAAAGAAGCUUGUAUAUAUAGUCAGUGAUUUUAAAAAAACCCAGAAUAGAAACAAUUUUAAACCAAAUAAACAUUCUUCUGAAGUUUCUUGCAUCUAAAACAAUGCAGCGGUGAGCAAAGUGAAAUCAAAUGCAGACGAAAGUGAAACUGACUGAGGAAUCCACAAAAUAAUCAACCAGAAUAAACAAAUAAAGUAAAUCAGAGAGUUGUUAGUGAUACAGGCAAAGGACUUUGUUUCUUACACCAUAUGAUUCAAUUGACAGGGUCUCCUUCUCUGUGCCAUCAGUGAAGUCAGCCAAAGGUAAUGCUGCUUCAGACCCUGGAAUCCGGUCAUCAGUGAAAUGGGGGUGCAUAUCCCUUCAGUGCUACUUUACUAUGAGAUCCUGCCAUUGUCCUGACUUAAAGGGGAUUUCAGAUUUUAACAAGAAAAGCUGAUUACAGAUGAUGAGGGCUGGCGGAACAGCCUUGUUCCUGAUAGCUCUCUUCUACUUCAGCUCAGUUACUGCUAUUGCUAAACUUCCCUGGGGAAUUGAUCUCAGUGAGUGGACACAAGCCUGGUAACUGUCUGUAAGUUUUGUUGAUCCUUCAGCUCCCUAAUAAUAAAUACACAUUUAUAGCCAUGCUUUAUGCUCUUUUUUUCCAUAUAAUUAAAAAUGUAAGGGCUAUGGCUCCAAUCCAUCAUGUGUCCAAAAGGUCAAGCUCUGACUUGCUGUCCUUUGGAGAAGCUAGCAGUUACUCACUUUCCUACUCUGCAGACCCCAAGGAAAGAUUCUAUGGAUAAAAUCCUGGCCCUCCUGAAGUCAAUGGUAAAACCCUACUGAAGUCAAUGGCAAUACGUUUUUAAGUAAUGGUUAUAUUUAAUAAGACCAAGGUUUGCUCUUUGGGGAACUUAUCCAACUCUCCAUGAAGCCAAUGGGAGUCUUUCCUCUGACUUCUGGGGGAAUUAUUCAGAAUCUCCUUUCUGAAAGUGAAUUUCAUUACAUGUUAUAGAAAAAUUUCUCAUCUAAAAACCCCCUCUUCAUUUAAAAAAAAUAAAAUCAAGAGACGUCAACACACAUCUGUGGAUAUAACUAAACAGCUCAUAGGCAAGGUGUCAGCAGAUAAGGCCGACAAAGCCCAAAAUGCAAACAAACAGCUUCAGAAAAUCUGCACUGUACCACAAUAAACCAUCAGAAAUAUGUAAGUGUUCAAGAAGUCAGAGUCUGUGGUAACUGCCAGUAGGGUUAUAUUGGCAUUAAGGAUGGGGUGGGGACGGAGUGCGGCAACACUACAAGGCAGCCAUUUGACAUCAUAGUACUUGUCAUAGCAUGUCCUGUCUCUAGAGAUCAGCACCAACAUGGGCUAUGCGACUGAAGUCUCAAUGUCUGCCUGGGGUGCUUUACUGUCACUCAUUUAAUGCCCCAGCUGCUAAUUCUACUUCAGAUAGCAGGCAAACGUUUAAAAGAUGUCACAUCCAAUGAGGAAAAUGCAUGCCACUUACUGAACAUUUUCUUUCUUUGCGAAUCCAGGUCCAAAGAUUCUCCAAGACAGGUCCUGUAGCCAGCACUGCAGAAAAAUGCAGAACUAGUUCUCUCCAUCACAGGCAGUGCAAGGGUAACCACACCCUCCUGAAGAGUCAGAUAACUUUCACAGCCAGGAAAAAUUACUCUUGAUUGAAGGCUACAUGAUAAAUAUUGCCAUAAGAAAUAUCCAAAAACCCUGAUAAACCUGAGCAGGUAGAACAGCUGAAAUAGCCAAACAGAAACAAUUAAAUACAUUUCAAUUGCAUCCCGACCAACUCGAUAAAAGUUGAAUCUAUAGACCAGGAUUUUCUAAUAAAUUAAUUUUUCAGAAAGGAGGAUACAUUUUCCCAUUUCCCUGCAAAUCCAGGUCCACAGAUCCUCCAUGAUGGGAUUUUAAUAGCAGGAUCGGUUUAUAGAGAGCUUUCGAAAAACUGGGAUAGAUAAAACUAGUAGCACCCCUUAUCUCUGAGGUAAUCAUUUACAUGUGCAUUUCUCCUCACUGAGGGACCAUCUGCUUGGAGCAUUCACCAUCCAGACAACACACUGGAGGAUGUGAGGGUGUCCAGUUUGUGGACCAUGAUAUGCUUCAAAGUACCUGAAACCUGAUCUGGAAGGACAUUUAGAGAUUAAUUUUCAAAGGGUAUGCCUCUUUGGAGAGAGCCUGUUGGUGACAGAGCCAUAAAUACUGGUAAAACACAGGUUUUUGGAUUAUAAUGCCUGGAAGCAAUACAAGAGGAAGAAGAACAGCCAUCAAAUAGGAGCAGGUCUGAAAAAACAGACUUGGGUAGGCCACCAAGGAGUUAUAGUGAGUACUGCCUCUUCUUUUUGAGAGUGUGGGCAUGUUCUGCCAAUGACUGCAGUGGUCAGAGUAAAGGUACUAGCAAUGUAUAGUAUUUCUGAAAUAUUCUCAAUUAUUAACAGAUUCCUCCUCCUCCAGCUCAGGGAAGAUGGGGGAACCAAAAUUCUGAAGCCUGAUUAAGGCUGAUACGUUUCUCCAUGGAAACAAACAAACAAACAA